GUCCACACCGUAAACGAUGAUUACUAGGUGUUGGAGGAUUGACCCCUUCAGUGCCGCAGUUAACACAAUAAGUAAUCCACCUGGGGAGUACGACCGCAAGGUUGAAACUCAAAGGAAUUGACGGGGGCCCGCACAAGCAGUGGAGUAUGUGGUUUAAUUCGACGCAACGCGAAGAACCUUACCAAGUCUUGACAUCCGUUGACCGCUGUAGAAAUACAGUUUUCCUUCGGGACAGCGAGACAGGUGGUGCAUGGUUGUCGU
rnacentral:rRNA from 1 species